rnacentral:rRNA from 1 species
AGCGAACGCUGGCGGCGUACUUAACACAUGCAAGUCGAACGGGGAUCGCCUGUGUAGCAAUACAUAGGCGGUUCUAGUGGCGUACGGGUGAGUAACACGUGGGCAACCUGCCCUUGAGUCCGGGAUACCCUCUCGAAAGGGAGGCUAAUACUGGAUACGUUCCUCGGGUCGCGAGAUCUGGGGAGGAAAGGUGGCGAAAGCUGCCGCUCUUGGAGGGGCUUGCGGCCUAUCAGCUAGUUGGUGAGGUAAUGGCUCACCAAGGCUAUGACGGGUAGCUGGUCUGAGAGGACGACCAGCCACACGGGAACUGAGACACGGUCCCGACUCCUACGGGAGGCAGCAGUGGGGAAUUUUCCGCAAUGGGCGAAAGCCUGACGGAGUGACGCCGCGUGGGGGACGAAGGCC